CCAGAAGCACGUGACCUCCACAGUAGCCAUAAACACGCAUGGAUACCGUGGAAGUCUUGCAAGUUGAUCGCAAAGAUGCACAUAUCAAUCUGGAAUUCUGGCUUAAAGCCAGAAUUGCAGGAAUGCAACACGUGUUGCAGAGGACUCUUUCACUGCCCUCUGUGCCCCAUUUUCAGCCCUACUGUCAGGGCAAAGAUUGAGGAGCAUCUAAGUGUGCAUAUAAAAAAUGCUUUGCAUUUCAACGAUAAAAUGAUAUGCCGGUGCAGGCUGCCUUGUAGGACAACAGGACACUUUCACUGCCCUGUCUGUAAGAUUACAAUCAUACGGCGUGGGGAUAUGGCAAGGCAUUUAUUGUCUUGUCAGCAUUCUUCAAUGCCAAGUCAGCCACCAUUAUCAGGACUGCUCCCUGCUGAACUCUCCGAGGAGACCCGUAUUCCUCCGGCAGUACUCUUCGAGGAGCCCCGUCUCCCCCCCAAGGUUUUGUCUUCGGUAUCUGAACCAUUUUCUGAAUCUUUGUUAGAACAUUCAUAUGCUCUACCCUCUGUGUUCAAUAAAACUGCAGCUGAUGGAAAGUCCAUGAAAAUGACAUGCCCUCACUGUGGCCUUACUCUUCGUACCAAAAACUACAAGGCUCACAUGAUGAGGAAGCACUCCAACCAAUCAAUAGAUGUUUGCCUGGCCAGUCAUCUGCAGUGUGUUUGUGUAGAUGAAACUACAGGGUUAUUUGCUGAUCAGAGAACUGGCCAUGGGUUUUCUGUGCCAGUUCACGUUCAGAGGAAAACAUGGGGGAUGUCUCACAAUAUCAGAUGUGAGCUGGAGG